rnacentral:rRNA from 1 species
UACAGAGGCCUCGAGCGUUAGGCGGAAUCACUGGGCUUAAAGGGCGCGUAGGCGGGUGCUCAAGUCCGUGGUGAAAUCCUCCGGCUCAACCGGAGAACUGCCUCGGAUACUGGGUGCCUCGAGGGUGGUAGGGGUAUGCGGAACUAUCGGUGGAGCGGUGAAAUGCGUUGAUAUCGAUAGGAACUCCGGUGGCGAAGGCGGCAUACUGGACCACCUCUGACGCUGAGGCGACGAAAGCCAGGGGAGGCAAACGGG